rnacentral:rRNA from 1 species
UACAGAGGUCCCGAGCGUUGUUCGGAUUCAUUGGGCGUAAAGGGUGCGUAGGCGGCGGGGCAAGUCUGAUGUGAAAUCCCGGGGCUCAACCCCGGAACUGCAUUGGAUACUGCCUUGCUAGAGUACUGGAGAGGAGACUGGAAUUUACGGUGGAGCAGUGAAAUGCGUAGAGAUCGUAAGGAAGGCCAGUGGCGAAGGCGAGUCUCUGGACAGUAACUGACGCUGAGGCACGAAGGCCAGGGGAGCAAAACGGG